rnacentral:rRNA from 1 species
GGCCUAUCAGCUUGUUGGUGAGGUAGUGGCUCACCAAGGCGACGACGGGUAGCCGGCCUGAGAGGGCGACCGGCCACACUGGGACUGAGACACGGCCCAGACUCCUACGGGAGGCAGCAGUGGGGAAUAUUGCACAAUGGGCGAAAGCCUGAUGCAGCGACGCCGCGUGAGGGAUGACGGCCUUCGGGUUGUAAACCUCUUUCAGCAGGGAAGAAGCGAAAGUGACGGUACCUGCAGAAGAAGCGCCGGCUAACUACGUGCCAGCAGCCGCGGUAAUACGUAGGGCGCAAGCGUUGUCCGGAAUUAUUGGGCGUAAAGAGCUCGUAGGCGGCUUGUCACGUCGGUUGUGAAAGCCCGGGGCUUAACCCCGGGUCUGCAGUCGAUACGGGCAGGCUAGAGUUCGGUAGGGGAGAUCGGAAUUCCUGGUGUAGCGGUGAAAUGCGCAGAUAUCAGGAGGAACACCGGCGGCGAAGGCGGAUCUCUGGGCCGAUACUGACGCUGAGGAGCGAAAGCGUGGGGAGCGAACAGGAUUAGAUACCCUGGUAGUCCGCGCCGUAAACGGUGGGCACUAGUGUGGGCAACAUUCACGUUGUCCGUGCCGCAGCUAACGCAUUAAGUGCCCGCCUGGGGAGUACGG